GCUGCUUUUUCUUCUCUUUCUCCCUUGUAUAUGCUUCUUCUUCGAUAAAAAAAUAAUAAAAAAUAAUAAAAAAAAAAAACAGUAAGACUCCCUCUGCUUCGGAACAUAUUAAAGUAUCUUGCUUUUACCUUUGUUCGCGCGCUCGCCGCCGCUUCGAGUGUUGGGUUGCUCUUGAUAUGUGGAGAAAUUUUGUCGCUUAGCAAGUAAAACGCGAGUUCUGUUGAUUCAGAACAAAUAAUAAUUAAUAAGUUGUUGAUUAUAUGGGCUGAAUGUAUGCUUUGGAGCUCAAAGUCUGUUCGAUGUCAAAAAUCGGUUUUCUUUCUGGAAUACAGAUCUGUUGUUGCAAAUUUGGUUAGUUGGUGUAGACAAUGUGUUGGGAUAUAAGCAAAUUGUAUUUUUGUUUGAACUGGUUUGCUGCUUUUUGAUUGAAAAUGCUAAUGGGCUUCAUUUUCUUUUA